rnacentral:rRNA from 1 species
GGGGGUAGAGCACUGUUUCGGCUAGGGGGCCAUCCCGGCUUACCAACCCGAUGCAAACUGCGAAUACCGGAGAAUGUUAUCACGGGAGACACACGGCGGGUGCUAACGUCCGUCGUGAAGAGGGAAACAACCCAGACCGCCAGCUAAGGUCCCAAAGUCAUGGUUAAGUGGGAAACGAUGUGGGAAGGCCCAGACAGCCAGGAUGUUGGCUUAGAAGCAGCCAUCAUUUAAAGAAAGCGUAAUAGCUCACUGGUCGAGUCGGCCUGCGCGGAAGAUGUAACGGGGCUAAACCAUGCACCGAAGCUGCGGCAGCGACACUCAGGUGUUGUUGGGUAGGGGAGCGUUCUGUAAGCCUGCGAAGGUGGCCUGUGAGGGUUGCUGGAGGUAUCAGAAGUGCGAAUGCUGACAUAAGUAACGAUAAAGCGGGUGAAAAGCCCGCUCGCCGGAAGACCAAGGGUUCCUGUCCAACGUUAAUCGGGGCAGGGUGAGUCGACCCCUAAGGCGAGGCCGAAAGGCGUAGUCGAUGGGAAACGGGUUAAUAUUCCCGUACUUGGUGUUACUGCGAAGGGGGGACGGAGAAGGCUAUGUUGGCCGGGCGACGGUUGUCCCGGUUUAAGCGUGUAGGUGUGUGUUCCAGGUAAAUCCGGUU